GACGAACGCUGGCGGCGUGCUUAACACAUGCAAGUCGAGCGGAAAGGCCCUUCGGGGUACUCGAGCGGCGAACGGGUGAGUGACACGUGAGUAACCUGCCCCAGACUUUGGGAUAACCCUCGGAAACGGGGGCUAAUACCGGAUACGACACAGCUUCGCAUGGGGUCUGUGUGGAAAGUUUUUCGGUUUGGGAUGGGCUCGCGGCCUAUCAGCUUGUUGGUGGGGUGAUGGCCUACCAAGGCGACGACGGGUAGCCGGCCUGAGAGGGCGACCGGCCACACUGGGACUGAGACACGGCCCAGACUCCUACGGGAGGCAGCAGUGGGGAAUAUUGCACAAUGGGCGGAAGCCUGAUGCAGCGACGCCGCGUGAGGGAUGACGGCCUUCGGGUUGUAAACCUCUUUCAGCAGGGACGAAGCGUAAGUGACGGUACCUGCAGAAGAAGCGCCGGCCAACUACGUG
rnacentral:rRNA from 1 species